AGAACGAACGCUGGCGGCAUGCCUAAUACAUGCAAGUCGAACGAACUCUUCGGAGUUAGUGGCGCACGGGUGCGUAACGCGUGGGAAUCUGCCCCUUGGUUCGGAAUAACAGUUGGAAACGACUGCUAAUACCGGAUGAUGACGAAAGUCCAAAGAUUUAUCGCCAAGGGAUGAGCCCGCGUAGGAUUAGCUAGUUGGUGAGGUAAAGGCUCACCAAGGCAACGAUCCUUAGCUGGUCUGAGAGGAUGAUCAGCCACACUGGGACUGAGACACGGCCCAGACUCCUACGGGAGGCAGCAGUAGGGAAUAUUGGACAAUGGGCGAAAGCCUGAUCCAGCAAUGCCGCGUGAGUGAUGAAGCCUUAGGGUUGUAAAGCUCUUUUACCGAGAUGAUAAUGACAGUAUCGGAAGAAUAAGCCCCGCUAACUCCGUGCCAGCAGCCGC
rnacentral:rRNA from 1 species